rnacentral:lncRNA from 1 species
CUCAGGUGAUCCUCCCUUCUCAGCCUCCCAAAGUGUUGGGAUUACAGGCGUGAGCCACCAUGCUCAGCCUGCAUUUGCUAUUUUGAUAUCUAUUACCAAAUUUUUCUUUGGAAAUGUGCCAGUUUACACUCCCACAAAUACUUUUGUCAGCAUUAGUUAGGUAUUACAUGUUUUUAAAUCCUCAUUAAUUCAGCAAACAAUUUUAUUUUAAUUGCCAUAUAGCUUGCUAUGUGUAUGUCUCUUGAAGAAUUACCUGUUCUUUUUAUUGAGGUCUUUAUUUUUUAUUGACUUGUAACUGUUCAUUGCAUCUUAAAAAUAGUAGCACUUUGUUGUGUGCUUACUGUUGUUUUCCCUCAGUUUUUCUUGGUUUUGAACUAGUUUUUGUUUUGUUUUUGUUUUUUGCCAUAUAGAAGGGUUACAAAGUUAAAUAUUUCCAUGUUUUCCAUUAUAGCUUCUGGUAGUAACUAGAAUUUACCUAAGCCCAGAAGAAUAAAAAGUCACCUGUGUUUUAUUCUGGCUUUAUACUGUUUUCAUUUGUUCUGUUAUAAUUUUUGUAUAAGAAAUCCAGGAAUCUAUUUUGCUUCUGAAGUGGCUGUCCAAUCAGGAUUUACCUUUUACCACUUGGUUGGAGAGGUGGGGGAAGAAGAGACUGGAGGAAAUAGAAGCUGAAGACAGGACUAGAUGUGUCUCCCUCCCCAGCCUCCUUUCUCUGCAGAGGUGGAGGAAUCACGGAAGCUAUCGUGGCUUUAGGUGUUGACUUUUGUCAAUGUUUGCUGAAGCCAGGAGUGAAAUUGAGACAAUAUUCCGAUUCUUGGAACCUGAGUUAGCGUUAAAGGGGAUGACAAACAGGCUGUUGUUAGGAGGUAGUUCCAUGUAAUAGGAAGAGUUUCCACCUCCCUCAGAGGCUGCCUUUCUCGUUUCUCCAAAUGAUUUCGCGGUUGGCCUAAGUUUCCUUUACUUCUCCCUACGAUGGUGUAACAUUAGCUUGAAUGCUGACGCUAUGUGGUGGUGAGCGGCAGUGGGUGUAUCUUGCCCAUAAACCCUUGGAGGACAGUGGAGGACAGGGACUGACCAACUCACCCAAGGGUCCUCUGCAUGCACAUGGUCCCUGCACAUGGCACAUAGUUGGUGCUCAGAAGGCCUUUGCUGGAACAAAGGAAAACACAAGCACCCACAGCAGUGAUGGCUGAUUUUGUCGGGUCUGCAAUGGAGAUUAGUCACCACUAGGUGUCAUGGUGAGUCAAGAAACAUUUUGGCUCAUGGUUACAAAUUAUGCGUUUACUGUAUUCAUCUUCGUGCAUGCACACAUGCAAUGUUUUACAAAGCAUCUGUUGAGUGUCUACGGCACAACACACACGUUCUGGUGCUGGAGAUCCUGCCCUGGCUGAGCUUCUGGACCUGGUGGGGAGAAAUCCACAAUGAGUACUGAGACGACCGGCAAAAGCCCGGUGAAGGCACCUAGGAGUAGGGCCUGCUUACCCUGGAGGAGUCGGGAGCAGCUUCCACAGCAAGGAGGCUUCUAAGGUACCCAAAAGCACAAGAGACAGUGAACGGAAAGUGCUUGGAAGCCCCGUGCCCAGGUGGUGCUGGCCCCAGCUGAACUGCGGGGAUAGAUGUUGAGUGUCCAGGUUCUAGCAUCAUAGAACAGAAUCCGGCCUGUUGGGAAAUCCUGCCUACAAGUAUACCUCCAUUAAUUAGUGUCUUCUGUGAACAUUUUUAUUAAAAAAAGAAGAAAAGCUUCUCAA